GCGCGCGUAGGUGGUUUGUUAAGUUGGAUGUGAAAGCCCCCGGGCUCAACCUGGGAACUGCAUCCAAAACUGGCAAGCUAGAGUAUGGUAGAGGGUGGGUGGAAUUUCCUGUGUAGCGGUGAAAUGCGUAGAUAUAGGAAGGAACACCAGUGGCGAAGGCGACCACCUGGACCUGAUACUGACACUGAGGUGCGAAAGCGUGGGGAGCAAACAGGAUUAGAUACCCCAGU
rnacentral:rRNA from 1 species